rnacentral:rRNA from 1 species
GACGAACGCUGGCGGCGUGCCUAAUACAUGCAAGUAGAACGCUGAAGGGAGGAGCUUGCUCUUCUUGGAUGAGUUGCGCACGGGUGAGUAACGCGUAGGUAACCUGCCUGGUAGCGGGGGAUAACUAUUGGAAACGAUAGCUAAUACCGCAUAAAAUGGAUUAUCGCAUGAUAAUCCAUUGAAAGGUGCAAAUGCAUCACUACCAGAUGGACCUGCGUUGUAUUAGCUAGUUGGUGGGGUAACGGCUCACCAAGGCGACGAUACAUAGCCGACCUGAGAGGGUGAUCGGCCACACUGGGACUGAGACACGGCCCAGACUCCUACGGGAGGCAGCAGUAGGGAAUCUUCGGCAAUGGACGGAAGUCUGACCGAGCAACGCCGCGUGAGUGAAGAAGGUUUUCGGAUCGUAAAGCUCUGUUGUAAGAGAAGAACGAGUGUGAGAGUGGAAAGUUCACACUGUGACGGUAUCUUACCAGAAAGGGACGGCUAACUACGUG